rnacentral:misc_RNA from 1 species
GACGAAGGGCGUGGGUGUUAUUCAUUUUGAUUGGGUGUAAAGGGUAUGUAGGUGGUUACCAGAGUGUUUGGCCAAAAGAGCGAAGUGUUCCUGUGCAAGAGGCCUUUACGAUGGUUCCUAGAGUUAAUUAGGGGUGGGGGUAAAUUUCCGCGUAGGGGUAGAAUCCUUGAAGACGGAAAUGAACGUUAGCCGGCGGAGGCGCCCUUCUGGUUUUAACUGACGCUGAGGUACGGAAGCCUAGGGAGCAAACGGG